rnacentral:rRNA from 1 species
AACGCGAAGAACCUUACCUGGGCUCGAAAUGUAGAGGACGAUAUCAGAGAUGAUAUUUCUCGAAAGGGUCUCUAUAUAGGUGCUGCAUGGCUGUCGUCAGCUCGUGCCGUGAGGUGUUUGGUUAAGUCCAGCAACGAGCGCAACCCUUAUCGUUAGUUGCCAGCGCGUAAAGGCGGGAACUCUAACGAGACUGCCUGGGUUAACCAGGAGGAAGGUGAGGAUGACGUCAAGUCCGCAUGGCCUUUAUGUCCAGGGCUACACACGUGCUACAAUGGUCGGUACAGAAGGCAGCGAAACCGCAAGGCGAAGCAAAUCCUGAAAAACCGAUCUCAGUUCGGAUUGUAGUCUGCAACUCGGCUACAUGAAGUUGGAAUUGCUAGUAAUGGCGUGUCAGCAACAACGCCGUGAAUACGUUCCCGGGCCUUGUACACACCGACAUA